AUCUGUCACUUUCUCCCAUCACGCUCAGGUGGGACCAUCCAGUUUCAGGAAAACAAGCUUAACAUGCCCACUGAUUCUACAUUAUGCUCCUACCUCCCGGCAGCCUUGCCAGGCCCAGAACUCUCUCCAGUCAGCCUCUACAGACCAAGCUCAUGACUCACAAUGGCCUAUUUAGGCCCAUACCCUACCUCACGGCAGUCUCCGCAGAUGAGCCUACUGCCUCACAACAGCCUCCACAGGCACAGCUCCAUCGUUACAAUGGCCUCUUUAGACCCAGCUCCUGCCUCCCAGCCUUCUCUCCAGGCCCUGAACUUUCUCCGGUCUCCCUCUGUUGUCCGAGGCUGGAGGGUAGUAGUGCUAUCGCAGCUGACUGCAGCCUCAACCUUCCAGGCUGAAGCGAUCCUCCCAUCUCAACCUCCCACGUGGCUGAGACUACAGGUGGGACCAUCCAGUUUCAGGAAAACAAGCUUAACAUGCCCACUGAUUCUACAUUAUGCUCCUACCUCCCGGCAGCCUCGCCAGGCCCAGAACUCUCUCCAGUCAGCCUCUACAGACCAAGCUCAUGACUCACAAUGGCCUAUUUAGGCCCAUACCCUACCUCACGGCAGUCUCCGCAGAUGAGCCUACUGCCUCACAACAGCCUCCACAGGCACAGCUCCAUCGUUACAAUGGCCUCUUUAGACCCAGCUCCUGCCGCCCAGCCUUCUCUCCAGGCCCUGAACUUUCUCCGUGGGACCAUCCAGUUUCAGGAAAACAAGCUUAACAUGCCCACUGAUUCUACAUUAUGCUCCUACCUCCCGGCAGCCUCGCCAGGCCCAGAACUCUCUCCAGUCAGCCUCUACAGACCAAGCUCAUGACUCACAAUGGCCUAUUUAGGCCCAUACCCUACCUCACGGCAGUCUCCGCAGAUGAGCCUACUGCCUCACAACAGCCUCCACAGGCACAGCUCCAUCGUUACAAUGGCCUCUUUAGACCCAGCUCCUGCCGCCCAGCCUUCUCUCCAGGCCCUGAACUUUCUCCGUGGGACCAUCCAGUUUCAGGAAAACAAGCUUAACAUGCCCACUGAUUCUACAUUAUGCUCCUACCUCCCGGCAGCCUUGCCAGGCCCAGAACUCUCUCCAGUCAGCCUCUACAGACCAAGCUCAUGACUCACAAUGGCCUAUUUAGGCCCAUACCCUACCUCACGGCAGUCUCCGCAGAUGAGCCUACUGCCUCACAACAGCCUCCACAGGCACAGCUCCAUCGUUACAAUGGCCUCUUUAGACCCAGCUCCUGCCUCCCAGCCUUCUCUCCAGGCCCUGAACUUUCUCCGGUCUCCCUCUGUUGUCCGAGGCUGGAGGGUAGUAGUGCUAUCGCAGCUGACUGCAGCCUCAACCUUCCAGGCUGAAGCGAUCCUCCCAUCUCAACCUCCCACGUGGCUGAGACUACAGGUGCUUGCCACUACGCCCAACUAAUAUUUGGUAUUUUCGUACACGUGGAUUCCAGAGGGGUGACAGCGAAACGUGAGUGGGACCAUCCAGUUUCAGGAAAACAAGCUUAACACGCCCACUGAUUCUACAUUAUGAUUCUUCAGGCCCAGCAUCUGCCUCACUGUGGACUCCCCAAGCCAAGCUCCCAACCUUUCAGCAGCUUCUACACACCCAGCUCCCGCCUGCCAGUGGCCUCUUCAGGCCCAUGGGGCUCAUUCCUCACAACAGCCUUUCCAGUCCCAGUUUUUCCCUUCCGGCGGCCUCUCCGGGCUGAGAACCUCCUCAAGUCGGCCUCUCCAGACUCACUUGCACCCUCCAGGCGUCCUCUCCGGGCCAAGCUCCUCUUCCUGGCUGCGUCUCCAGGCCUGACUCCUGCCUCUCAACAACCUCUUUGGACUCAGUGCCUACCCAUCUCCUGGCGUCCUUGGUCGGCCCACAGCUUCCUCAAGCCAAGCUCCCCAGGCCCAGGUCAGGCCUCACGGUGCCCCCUCCACGAUGAGCUCCUGCCCUCCAAUGGCACCUGCAGGCCCCAAAUGGUCUCCGGUCGGUGGGCUCCUCCACGCCAAGCUUGGGCCUCCCGGUGACCUCUGCAGGCCCAAGUUGUCCUGAAGUCGGCAUCUCCCAGCCAUGCCUCCCAGCAAGUAAGCAAGCUCUUUUGGCUCAACUCCUGCCCAGCUCCCAACCGCCUUUGUAGGUCCCGAACUUUCUCCAGCCAAGUUCUUUGGGCCUCAUUCCUGCCGCCCGGUGGCCUGUACGGGCCCAGCAAUGGUUGGAGAACGGCCUCUGCAGGUCCCGCUCUUGCCUCCCAGGGGCCUCUCCAGGCCCAGCUCUUGCCCCCACGGCGGCCACCUGGGGCCAA